rnacentral:misc_RNA from 1 species
AACGCACCUUGCACUCUUUGGUAUUCCGAAGAGUAUGUCUGUUUGAGUGUCAUGAAACUCUCAACCCCCUCAUUUUGUAAUGAAAUGAGUUGUGGGAUUGGAUUAUGGUUGUCUGUCGGCUUAGCAGCCGGCUCAACUGAAAUACACGAGCUACCAUCUUUGAAAUAGACGGCUUGACUCGGCGUAAUAACUAUUUCGCUGAGGACGUCAUAUUUUCAAUUAACAAAUGGUGCUUCUAAUUUGUUAAUUAAUUUAAGCUUUAGACCUCAAAUCAGUCAGGACUACCCGCUGAACUUAA